GACGAACGCUGGCGGCGUGCCUAAUACAUGCAAGUCGAGCGCAGGAAAUCGACGGAACCCUUCGGGGGGAAGUCGAUGGAAUGAGCGGCGGACGGGUGAGUAACACGUAAAGAACCUGCCCUCAGGUCUGGGAUAACCACGAGAAAUCGGGGCUAAUACCGGAUGGGUCAUCGGACCGCAUGGUCCGAGGAUGAAAGGCGCUUCGGCGUCGCCUGGGGAUGGCUUUGCGGUGCAUUAGCUAGUUGGUGGGGUAAUGGCCCACCAAGGCGACGGUGCAUAGCCGACCUGAGAGGGGGAUCGGCCACACUGGGACUGAGACACGGCCCAGACUCCUACGGGAGGCAGCAGUAGGGAAUCUUCCACAAUGGACGAAAGUCUGAUGGAGCAACGCCGCGUGAACGAUGAAGGCCUUCGGGUCGUAAAGUUCUGUUGUAAGGGAAGAACAAGUGCCGCAGGCAAUGGCGGCACCUUGACGGUACCUUGCGAGAAAGCCACGGCUAACUACGUGCCAGCCGCCGCGGUAA
rnacentral:rRNA from 1 species